GUGUCCAUGGUGCGUCCAGCCACAAAUGGGUCAUCUGUAUCACACCCACUCUCAAAGGCUUCAGGGUCAUCAUGGAAGAUGGGGAAGAAGGACGGGAAGAGCCAGGUGUCAGGAGGACCAGAGUGAACAGGGUCUUCUGGACAGACCUGACCACCCAUGAGCUAACAGCGGUGUGGCUGCCUGAGCGAGACCUGCUAAGAUCGAACUGGUCAAAACUCUAGGAGAGCGGGAGCCCCUGCUCAGGCUGAGGAGCUUCUGACAGUCAGCUCUCAGGAGGAAGAGUCGGUUGUCUUACAGGUUGUGGCCUCUUACAGGUUGAGUACCAUGGAGGCAUACAGUGGACGGCCCCACACUUGUGAGUACAGCCAAUACAAGUAGGAUUUGGGGGACUAAACGUGAAGUUGGGAGGGGCUGGGAAAAUGGGAGUUUGGUCUGGGGGAGUUAGGCAAAUACAAUAAAAUGCAGAGUAUGCAUGUGUGAAAGUCUUGAAAUUAAUUUUUAAAAUUACACUUAAAAAAGAAAUUUGAUUCAACCAACUGCUGGUGUGGAGCCCCACAGGACUGGGGAAGCGAGUCUGAGCUUCAGAGGCUGAAGCCUUGGGUGUGGCCCUAGCUGAGCAGCAGGCUAAACCUCUCUGAGCCUCAAAUAUGAACGAAGCAAGUGUGAUCACACGCUGCCAGGAGACCAACAAGAUGAUGAUUAUGGCAGAGGCAGAGAAAUGGAAAUUUCUGCUUGCAAGGUGAUUGUUAUUGUCUGGGGGGGUUGCGUAUCAUCCUUGCCUGCUAUCUACAUUGAGAGGCUUUGCUUGUAUCCCCAAACCCCUGUUUUCCAGCAGAGGAAAGCAAAUGAAGCGAUUGCCAAGCUCCUUAUUAGGGGCUUGCUGUUUGCUUGUUUGGUGCUGUAGGUCACACCCAGGGCCUGGCAUACACCGAGCACUUUCUAAACACCAAAUACUGUUUCUGUCUCCUUACCUAGCAACUAAAUUCUUUUUUAGCCUUAAACUCACUAUGUAGCUGAUUAUCUUCUUGAACUUCUGAUCCAGCUCUGCUAAGAUUACAGGUGUGCUGAAUGGUUUUCGUCUCAUCCUGACACAAGCUUGGGUCACCUGGGAACAGUUAACCUCAAAUGAGAAGGUGCCUUCAUCAGACUGGCCUGGGGUCCAAUCCGCUGUGGGUGGUGUCACCCCUGGGCCGGCAGUCCCCGGUUGUGUUGAAAAGCGG
rnacentral:lncRNA from 1 species